rnacentral:rRNA from 1 species
AUGCACUUGCAUAAGCGCGACAACGAUGCUCGCCCUAACCGAAGAGCUAUCUUCGGCCUACACCAAGCCGAAGAGCGCACCUGCUUCAGCUACAACAACUACGCUAGCGUGUGCAAGACGGAGGACAUCCCCGACAGCCAGUGCAACACGCGCCGCCUCCAGCGCAAGUGCUACUGCAAGAGGGUAUAUGUGCUACAGCCCAAGCCGACAUCAUCUCCUACUGAAUCCGUGCCGUUAGAUCGCUUACGUUCGUCAGAUGUUCGAAAGGCAUGCCGCCGGCAGCGCUGGAACCGAUCUGGCGCGGUGGCUGCCGUCGACGCCGUGUGCCCCCGGAACCUCUCAUGCAUCCUCUCAGCCACACGGCCCACCAACACCAUGGCCCUCUCGUCCAUCUCUUCCACCCCAUCCCCAUCUUCUCCGAUGCCGACCUCGGCAAGCAUGCCGGCGACGCAUCUCCUGCCCCUUCCUCUGCGCAUUAGUCCCAGCGCCCAACAUCUCCACACCCCCUCCUCCUCGCCAUCUCCUCCACCCCCUUCCCCGUCUCCUGCCGCUGACCGCCGCCGGCUAUGUGUUGCUUCCUUGGCGGAGGCGCUUCCGCAUAGUCCACCUCCUCCUUCCCCACUGUCACUGAAGCGCCCCAUGUGGAGAAGGGACGAGGAUCUAGAAGCCAGUCUUGCAGAGUUGCAGUCCAAUAUAAAUCAAAUGGGUAGGCAGAUGGGACUCAAGCUGCUUGUACUACACCUCAAGAGCCACACGCUCGUCACGCCAAUCUGGAGCUGUUCCAAGGAAAGGAGCAGUUCUAUUAAGGAUGGAUAUGAUAAUAUGUAUUGGAGAAUGCUCGUCGUCCUGUUAUCGGCUCCAACGCUCGCAUGUCUUGCGAUUGCGAAGCCAAUCAAAGGUUGCCUGCAAGAAGCAUUGCCUUCUAUGGUCAGGAGCCGCCUGAGCCCUGCAAAGAUAAUGUUCAAGCUACAGCUUGAGUCAGAAUUUGUACGGAUACAUGAAAAUGUGAUGUAUGCCGAGAAAAGCUUCCUCCUCAGCAUGCUGGCGCUAGCGGCAAUCAAGGCGCCCGUGCUGUUGUGUCUUGCCUGCUGCCUCUGCUGCUGCCAUGCAACCCGACGCCGAGGAUCACCCCGGCGAGCGCCCGUCUUGCACUCGCGGUCGGGCAAGUCCUCCGUCUUGCACACGCUGUCGCCCGUCUUGCACUCGCGGUCGGGCAAGUCCUCCGUUUUGCACAAGCUGGCACAGAUGCUGUCACUGACACAGCUGCCAUCUUCGGCUUGGUGCAGGCCGACGACUGAUCUUCGAUCAGGACCAGGCCGAAGAGUGCCCAUCGGUCGGGCCGCAGCCGAAGGGAAUCACACGGAACGGCUCGCGCCUCUUAGCCCUCGACUCACUCAUCUAGAACCCUAUCCCAGCGUCGCCACUCCCCCGUCUCUCUCUCCCUCUCGAUCUGAGGCCCCUCGUAUCUCCUUCUUGGACGUCACCUCUCCUCAUCUCUCCCUCUCCAACACUGCCUCUCCUCGUCUCUCCCUCUUCGGCAAGGAGAUCGUUUGGAGCCAGACUGCCGGCCGAAACGUUUCGCCGGACGCGUGUGCUGCGUCAAUGCCGCAGAUCAUGCGGCUGCGCGUGCCUCGCGUUCUGCAACGUCGCCAUGGACGCGUGGGAUGGGGCCGAGCACCAGUGCUACUACGACAGGGGGGCCAUGGCCCGCGAGCUCAUAGGCAAGGCGGCCAUGGCUUACGCGGACGGCGAGCUGCGAGCACCAAGGGAUACCGUCCCCGCUCCCCGGAUGUUGCAAAGUUUUUUGCUACAUCCAACAAGGCGGAGCUGCGACGGCGGCCACAACGAUUUUGCUGCAACCGUCUGUCAUUUUUGUUACGACCGGCGAUGCUUUUUGCUACAUCCAUUCAAAACGGCGAUGUUUGCCUGGGGUGCCCAUCGCGGAUGUCCAGUUGUUGCAUGGGUCGUGCUGCUAUCGGCGACCGGCACCGGAGCUGCGACCAGCAACCAUCACCGGAGCUGCGACCGGCGCCACCACAAACGCGGCCCGCUCAACGGAGUUGCAAUCGUCGCCACGGGAGCUGCAACCGCGGGCGCAUGUUUGCUGGCGAGAAACCCAGGAGGCGACGGUGGCGACCGGUGAUGACAACUGGCGACGAGGGCAACGGCAGGGGAGACGCGCGGGAAGGUGCUUUGAGGCCCGCGCCUCGUCGUCCAUGGCGGCGCGUCGGGAUUUUUUCUAAUAGAAGAGAGACGUCCAGAGAAGGAAGAGGGAAUCGUGCGGCUCCUAAGAGCAACUCUAGCAGACCCCGCAUCCUCCCAACCCGCAAAACGGUUUUGCAGUUCGCGGAAAAACGUCUUUGCGGGUCGGCGCGGACAGCCACAGUUGCAGACCCCGCAUAA